rnacentral:tRNA from 1 species
GGAGUUGUAGCUCAGUGGUAGAGUGCUUGCUUAGCAUGUGUGAGGUCCUGGGUUCUAUCCCCAGCACCA